GAUUCGGGAAUUGGCCACUACCUCGCAGUCACGUGAUCCACAAACGCAGCCGGCUCUGGUGCUUGGGAAAAAUACAAUUUUCUUUUGUUUUCCUGGGCGCCGCAACGUUUUGCGUUCAUUUCAUAUUUCAUGUGAUGUGACGUAGUGGAACAUUCCUGACG
rfam:Drosophila virilis strain TSC#15010-1051.87 Ctg01_14817, whole genome shotgun sequence.